AAAAAAAAAAAAAAUUGUGCUCCAUGGUUACUGUAGGUUCUCUUGCUCCCCUUUCUUCUCUCUUGCUCGGCGCCCUCCUCUUCCACUGUUUCGCGAGCAGCCACAUGACACCAUGGCCGCCGGCGCUGGCGCAGUCCCUGGACGUCGCCCUGCCCACGGCGCGCCUGGUCCUGCGUGGCGAGGAGGCCCAGGUGGACCUGGCGCUGCCGGGGCUCGCCGCCGUAUUGCGCGUCGCGGGCGCCGGCACAAGCAGACAAGCACGGCACCUUCCUCGCCCACCUCCUCGACCUCCGGGCGCGCCCGACGCCAUGGCCGCCAGCCCGACACCGUUGGCGGCGCCCCCGCCGAACGCCACGGCGGCCGCCGCAAGCCGCGAAUCACUCGACCCUAAGGUUCGAGUGCUUCCGAUCCGGAGAACCUAGUCUUGUUCGUGGACCUGAAGAGGGGCCCAACAGGGGCGUUUUUGUGGGCCGGGUCGACGAGCCGAUGGGUGGACCCGCACCACGCCCAUCUCUAAUCACGAACCUCCCGCUGACAGGCGGCCGCAACCCCUCCUCGACCCAAAGAUGGCGUCCAUCGGAGGUCGGAGCCCCCCGUGUGGUCAGCGCGCGGUGGAGAGUGGCAGCAGUGCCGCUGGAGGUGGAACUGUAUCUGCUGAAUGCCAUCGACAUACAGCGCCUGCCGCGGCUGCCGGAGAAGAAGCCGCCCUACACGCGCGGACCCUGCUGUGCAUAGGAGCCGUCGCUGCAUAGCGCCCUGUCCCGCAAGCGGAUGACCCUUCGAGUUCGGCACGGCUCGACCUCGCCGUCACCCACCAGAACAGCGUGCGCUAGCCGCAGCCGAUUCCGUGCCUGCACAGCUAUGUAGCGCAGCCACCAUUCCGUCCUCAAGUGACAGACACUUCAUAUAUUUAUGCACUCCAUCUCAAUCAUAUUUAAUAUUUUCUUCGUAGCCAUUAAUUACGCCAUAUUUUUUCUACUAUAUUGUAAAUUGUUCAAGCAAUCGAUUUGUUGAAAAAGCAAUAACAACAUAUUCGGCUGUCUAGCGAUCAGAAUGGAGUGGCAAGUAUUAAUUGGUGAGGGUGAUGUCUGGGGUCAUUGUUUUAUUAUAUGUACAUUCGGUCAUUUCGCGAUCACGAAAAUGUUGCACAUGUACCUUCGUUAUUUCAUUACAACACAGUAUCAUCAGCAUGCAUCAUUUGCAGCUUUCGUAGCUAUCAGAAUGCAAUGGGCUUUAUUUCUUUAAGUCUAAAAAACAGUGUCAACUUCUUCAGUAUAAGUGUUUGUGCAACUUUUUUUGCAA